GGAGUGCCCAGCACAACUGAUCAGCAGUGGACUGUCACCCCAAACAUUCCAGUCAUCAACUGCUACCAUAGCAACAGGCUGUCACCUGAAUAUUCCCAGGAGAACAUUCCCAUAGUAACAAAAACGUGUGGGUACCUGGUACAUCCUGGGCUCCUCAGCAUGGACUGUGUAGUUGCAGGGAGGGAUAAGGUCCCCCCGAGCCUCUUUUUUCCAGGCUAAACACUCCCCAUUUGGAGAAAUUCUGUCAGUGGGCUAGAGCCCUAAAAUAUUCUUUAAGCACAAAGAUCACAGUGAGAGGAAGCAACAGCAUGGGAAUAAUUUUUCCUUUGAGUUGGAAGAUACAAUGAAUUAUACCACAAAUGAAAUAUAUUUCACAAGAGAUUCAGACAUUACAGCCUGGCUGCUCAUACAGUGGGAUCACAGUGACAUUAAGGAGAGUGUGACUGACCUAAGGCAGCAAGUUGUCCCAAUAGCUCAAACCAAAUGGUCUCAUUUCUAGACUGAAUUCCACCUGGGUUAGGUCCCACCACUGUGUGCUACCAUGUAUCUGCUGAUGGAUCAAGGAAUCAUUAGUUAUUACAGAUCUCAUCCAAUGUAAUCAAGCAGGGAUGUUAACCAGUUAACCUUAUACCUUCCAUUGCCUCAUGCUUCUUUGUGAUUCUGAGCUUAAACAUGAAAUCUGGAAUUGUUCUCUGGUAUCCUGCAGACUACAUAGAUCCCAAACU